AAUAAGCUAAUUUCUCAAUGGCUCUCUUCUUCAUGCUCUGCUUCCCGCUGAGACCGUUGAUCGAGACAAAAAUAUUAUCGUUAUAAUGAUAAUAUGAAGAGAACAAGAAGAACAAAAUGCACCCUACCUCCUAUCUGCAUUGUAUUACCAAAUGAUAUGAUAAAGUAUGACAAUACCACUUUCUUGAGACCCAUAAAUUCCAAGCCUAACAAGUGGUGGUUCUCUAAAAUCUCUUUAUGUAAUGCUUUCUACGUUAAUAUUGUUGAUUACUCUAUCAAAACUAAUUUUGAUAAAAAGGAUUUCCAGAGGAU
rnacentral:lncRNA from 1 species